UACGGAGGGUGCAAGCGUUAUCCGGAAUCACUGGGUUUAAAGGGUGCGUAGGCGGCAUGAUAAGUCAGGGGUGAAAGCCCACAGCUCAACUGUGGAAUUGCCUUUGAUACUGUCAAGCUUGAAUUAGGUUGAGGUUGGCGGAAUGUGACAUGUAGCGGUGAAAUGCAUAGAUAUGUCAUAGAACACCAAUUGCGAAGGCAGCUGGCUAGACCUUAAUUGACGCUGAGGCACGAAAGCGUGGGGAGCGAACAGG
rnacentral:rRNA from 1 species